CACGGGGGUUGCGAGCGUUGUUCGGAAUUACUAGGCGUAAAGGGCAGGCAGGCGGAUCCAUAAGUUUAUCGUUUAAGGCGUCGGCUUAACCGGCGUAGGGCGGUAGAUACUGUGGAUCUGGAAUGCGGUUGGGGAAGACAGAAUUCCUGGUGUAGCGGUGGAAUGCGCAGAGAUCAGGAGGAAUACCGAAGGCGAAGGCAGUCUUCCAAGCCGUUAUUGACGCUCAACUGCGAAGGUGUGGGUAUCAAACAGGAUUAGAUACCCCGGUAGUCCCUGAGCGGG
rnacentral:rRNA from 1 species